CGCAUCUGUGCAUGCAGCAUAUCAAUAAGCGGAGGAAAAGAAACUAACAAGGAUUCCCCUAGUAACGGCGAGUGAAGCGGGAAGAGCUCAAAUUUGAAAUCUUAAAGGGUUUCCCUUUACGAAUUGUAGUUUAAAGAAGUGUUUUCUGUUGAGGUUUUGGUAAAAGUUCUUUGGAAUAGGACAUCAUAGAGGGUGAGAAUCCCGUAUUUGACCUUUACUUUCAACUUUGUGAUACACUUUCAAAGAGUCGGAUUGCUUGGGAAUGCAGUCCAAAAUGGGUGGUAAAUUUCAUCUAAAGCUAAAUAUUGGCGAGAGACCGAUAGCGAACAAGUACCGUGAGGGAAAGAUGAAAAGAACUUUGAAAAGAGAGUUAAACAGUACGUGAAAUUGUCAAAAGGGAAGCGUUUGACACCAGUGUUGUUUUUCUGAAAAUCAAUUAAAGAACUGUUUAUGCUAAGUUGUUUAGACUUUAUCAGCUAACUGUUUAGUUUUGAGCUUUUCUUUAAUGCACUUUUCAGUUAACAAGUCAACAUCAAUUUCUUUUGCUGUAAAAAAGCUUGAGGAAGGUGGCUUGAGAUUCGUCUUAAGUGUUUAUAGCCUCUUGCCUAUGCAGUCGGAGAGAUUGAGGUCUGCAGCGUAGAUCCUUCGGGCUAAAUGCAUUUGUGCUAAGUUAUAGCAUUUUAUAGACAACUUGUUGACUAUGAUUUGUCUUGUAGCUUACUCGCUUAUGUUAUUUUACCUACGCUUAGGAUGUUGAGCGCAUGUCUCUCUCU
rnacentral:rRNA from 1 species